rnacentral:lncRNA from 1 species
CUGGCCAAUCAGAGUCCUUGCUUCGAAUUCUUCAAAUUGACUCUGGGAAAAAGGGUUCGUUUUCUCUGGUAGUGAGACCUUGCAGUCUAAGGUCUUGUAAGCUGUCUCUGGCUUUUUCUUGGGCUGUGUGGAGGAAUCCACUCUGUAUGGAGAAUGAAGCUGACGGGCAGAGAGAAAUAGAGAUCCAAGAACCUUCUUGUAGGGUCUGGAUUGGGACCCUUUUCUGGUAACAUCUUCCUGGUGACCAUGAAGGGACAAUACUGAAGAGACCCCUGACCCUAAGGAAAUAGACUGCAGCACCAAUGGGCCAACUUUGGGGCGAUCAUCUUGCCCAGAAACAUCAUGUUGAAACUCUUGGUCAGAGGUUGGAUGAAAGCUGACAGGGUCCAUCCAGGAGCAAGUUUGAGCCUUGCCAGUUCCAUUUUGGGUGCUGAGUGGAGUGGCGACUAUAGCAAACCUGUGAUCUCUGGCUGCUGCUCAGAAGAAACAAGAGGGAGGGAUGAAUAAUGUAAAACUCUGGAUCAAUAUUCUAAUUCUGAGCCUCUAUUGGAAUCAGCUAGCAACCACAUAUCAGCUUGGUUUCAACAGUUUCCCAGUUCAUGCUGCUGAGAAGUUCAGAGUCAAACCUGAAUCUCACCUCUGCAAAGAGCACAGGACUCCAUGGCAAACGUUGUAUAUACGCAAGUCAUCCCUGGCACCACAUUGAUUUACUGCACCAGGCUUUCUUCAUUGUGAUGAUGUUCUCUCUCUUUUCUAAAAAAAAAAUAAAAAUAAAAUUUAAAAAAUCC